GAUGAAGAACGCAGCGAAAUGCGAUACUUGGUGUGAAUUGCAGAAUCCCGUGAACCAUCGAGUUUUUGAACGCAAGUUGCGCCCGAAGCCGUUAGGCCGAGGGCACGCCUGCCUGGGUGUCACACAUCGUUGCCCCAAUGCCAAUCGCCUCACUUUGUAGGUAUUUGCUUGGGGUGAAUGUUGGCCUCCCGUGAGCUUUGUCUCACGGUUGGUUGAAAAUCGAGUCCUUGGUAGGGUGUGCCAUGGUAGAUGGUGGUCGAGUUAGAACGAUACCGAUCAUGUGCAUGCUCCCCAAAAUAUGGCCUCUAUGACCCACACGCGUCUUUUGACGCUCAUGACGAGACCUCAGGUCAGGCGGGGCUACCCGCUGAAUUUAAGCAUAUCAAUAAGCGGAGGA
rnacentral:misc_RNA from 1 species